rnacentral:rRNA from 1 species
GACGAACGCUGGCGGCGUGCUUAACACAUGCAAGUCGAACGGAAAGGCCUUUUCGGAGGUACUCGAGUGGCGAACGGGUGAGUAACACGUGGGUGAUCUGCCCUGCACUCUGGGAUAAGCCUGGGAAACUGGGUCUAAUACCGGAUAGGACCGCACUUUAGUGUGUGUGGUGGAAAGUUUUUUCGGUGUAGGAUGAGCCCGCGGCCUAUCAGCUUGUUGGUGGGGUAAUGGCCUACCAAGGCGGCGACGGGUAGCCGGACUGAGAGGUUGGUCGGCCACAUUGGGCCUGGGAUCCGGCCCGGACUCCUCCGGGGGGCAGCAGUGGGGAAUAUUGCCCAAUGGGCGCAAGCCGGAUGCAGCGACGCCGCGUGGGGGAUGACGGCCUCGGGUUGUAAACUCCUUUCGCCAGGGACGAAGCGUUUUGUGACGGUACCUGGAGAAGAAGCACCGGCUAACUACGUG